rnacentral:lncRNA from 7 species
AGUUUAACAUCUGAAUCUCUGGGCUGGAACACGCAACCUUUCACCGAAGCACGAAGGAAGGGAGGGAAGCGAGGAGGUGUGGGGGGGAAGGGAAGUCGCAAAAACCUGCGGACGAGGCGGAGGGACCGGCUUUGCCCGAGCGCUUGCGACAAGCGGCCAGAACAACAACAAAACACCCAAAAGCCCGCUGCAGGCGGAGUACACUCAGUCCGGUGCUGCUCGGUGGCCCCUUUGUUCCCGGCGGGGGGACAGGCGAGGCGUGAACCCCCCAGCCUGCUGCCCACACGCCAUGGGACGGGCCCCUUCCCAGCGGGGCUGCUCGGCAGGGCCCGACCCUCCUCUCCUCUCCUCUCGGCGGAGCGGGGAUAUGAUAAAAGGAGACAGGGCUCUGAAAGGAUUUGAUUGAGAUGGCGUGUGCCAAGCUGAUGGGAGCCAGCGAGGGACAAAGCGCCGAGGAGCCAUGGACACUCGAGCAAUUAUUCCUCCACGCUGAAGGUGGAUUAGCGCAAUGGAAAGAAGCAUAUGUUCGGCCUGGGGCGACACUCCCCCUGGCUGGGUUUAGAGAAUGAGAGAGGAGAAAGAGGCUGAACCUGGAAUAUCAACUAUCCGGGAGACAGCCCAGCCGCCCCCCCCCUCUCCCAGCCUCUCCAAAAGUCCCGGGGAUGGAUGGCAGGAUAAAUAUGCACAGCCCUGUAGAUCAACGGGCACCCACGCGUAUACCCACAGAGAGCUGCACACACCUCUGUGCACAGCCAUUGCAUCGUUUGGCGUGGGCACACAGAGACAGAAAGACAGAAAGGUGGGAAAACCCACUCGGGUGUGACAAAGAGAGCAUGAACAGCCUGCCUAUUGAGGGGCCUUGCAGCACCCACUCCGCUAGAGGCUCAGCCCCUCCUGAAACUUUCUGAAGGUGGCUGUGGUGAGGGAUGGGGUCAUCCCCAUGCCUCACACCAGGCCCAGCCUGGAAGAUGCGUGGCAGACUUCUCAGUUCCCCCUUUCCUUCUGCUCCUGCAAUGCAUCCUGCAGGCACUCUGCAGGGUGAGAAGGAUGCACUCUACUAGGAGAGAGAGAGGGAAAAGGAGGAAGGCCGCUCUCCCCAUCCUCCUGGGAGCUCCAAAGUUGUGCCCCAAGUAUUUCACUUCCACUUCUUUAUCCUCAGGCAGACCUAAUAUAGGGGCUGGCAGCACGAGGGCAGAAAGCUCCGCAGGAUGGACAAGCCAGUAGGAACAUAACCAAAGCCAUUGCAUGGAAGAAAUAUACAUCCCCAAGAUUGCAGUGGCACAGAGUGCAACAGCUCCCGCCAGAAAAAAAGCUCAGCUCAAAGCCCCUGCAUCUGCUUUCAAUAGUCAGUUACAAAAGGAAUUAACCACACCACAGGCAACAACAGCAGUGGGGCUCAAGAGUAUCUCUGGAUGGGAAAGACCUUCAUGCUGUCCACGUCCUAUAGAAGCUGGCACUUCAGUGCACGUUCUUUACACUCGGCUGUCCUUCACCUUCCUGCUCUGAAAACACGGCUAUUCCUUCUGCCCCAGGAUGUACUUCCCCACUUUCUCUUCCUUCACCUGGUCUAAAGGUGCCUGUGCAAACGAGCUGUGUGGCUACACACAGAUCAGGAAUCCAGGAGCUUGCAGGAACCUUGGAGCCCUGGUUCAGAGAGGGAACCCACGUGCUUGCCAUACAGGGCAGAGAUGGUUUUGGGUGGUGGUUCUUGCCCUGUAGGAUUAGGGUGUGAAGGAAAGCCAGUCUGGAGACAGUGGGUCCUUCCCACUCCACCAGAAAGCUCUCGGUUGCCUCAGCCUGAUUUCCACUUUGGUUUGCUCAGUGGAUGCGCUCCAACCACUCUACUGGAGAGAUGAGAAACGUUGGCCCUUUAGUCUGAGCCACCAAAGCUAACCUCUGCAUCAUAGAGACAUGACUACACAGAUGGUAACAGGGAAUAAAGGCCACAGGUCUGUCACCUUCAUACCUACAGCACCUGGCACCAAAAUGGAGGGGUAAGAGUGCAAGGACACAAAUCUUGCUUUCCACAACAAACUAUACUUCUGUUCACCCUUCCCAAAGCAUCACCCUCUGUACCUGCUCAAGAAAGUCUAGAGACUUCAACCAGAAGAAUAGAAACAAGGCUGAUUUGCUCAUCUCUAGUAGUAAACAGUCAUGAAAGACUUUCACAUUUCCUCUGUUUCCUAUUGCUUAUUUUAAAUUACCUAUUUUGGGGAGUUUCGGGUUAUUCAACUAAAUAUUGCAAACGGAGAGGCUGCACCCUAUGCGGAAUAAAUGACCUAAGAACC